rnacentral:rRNA from 1 species
ACGGCUCAGUAACACGUAGUCAACAUAACCAAAAGACGUGGAUAAACUCGGGAAACUGAGGCUAAACCGCGAUAAAACAAGAUACCUGGAAUGGUUUUUGAUCAAAAUCUAUAUGGCCUCUGGAUUGGACUGCGGCCGAUCAGGCUGUUGGUGAGGUAAUGGCCCAACCAAACCCUGAAACCGGUACGGGCUCUGAGAGGAGAAGCCCGGAGAUGGGCACUGAGACAAGGGCCCAGGCCCUAUGGGGCGCAGCAGGCGCGAAACCUUUGCAAUAGGCGAAAGCCUGACAAGGUUACUCUGAGUGAUCUCCGCUAAGGAAAUCUUUUGACACCUCUAAAAAUGGUGUAGAAUAAGGGGUGGGCAAGCCUGGUGUCAGCCGCCGCGGUAAUACCAGCACCCCGAGUGGUCGGGACGAUUAUUGGGCCUAAAGCAUCCGUAGCCGGUUCUUUAAGUCCUCCGUUAAAUCCACCUGCUUAACAGAUGGGCUGCGGAGGAUACUAUAGAGCUAGGAGGCGGGAGAGGCAAGCGGUACUCAGUGGGUAGGGGUAAAAUCCGUUGAUCCAUUGAAGACCACCAGUGGCGAAGGCGGCUUGCCAGAACGCGCUCGACGGUGAGGGAUGAAAGCUGGGGGAGCAAACCGGAUUAGAUACCCGGGUAGUCCCAGCUGUAAACGAUGCAGACUCGGUGAUGAACAGGCUUCGUGCCUGUUCAGUGCCGCAGGGAAGCCGUUAAGUCUGCCGCCUGGGGAGUACGGUCGCAAGACUGAAACUUAAAGGAAUUGGCGGGGAG